rnacentral:rRNA from 1 species
GGUUGAUCCUGCCAGCAAUCAUAUGCUUGUCUCAAAGAUUAAGCCAUGCAUGUCUAAGUAUAAGUGUUUAUACAGCGAAACUGCGAAUGGCUCAUUAUAUCAGUUAUAAUCUACUUGAUCGAUUCUGUUACUUGGAUAACUGUAGGAAUUCUAGAGCUAAUACAUGCAAAAGGUCCGGACUGGGGGCAACCUUGGGAAGGACGCGUUUACUAGAAAAGAACCAAUAUGGGGCGCAAGUUCCAUCUAACAGAUGAUUCAUAGUAAGACUUCACGCGAAUCGGGGGCUUAAGU